rnacentral:rRNA from 1 species
AUUGAACGCUGGCGGCAGGCCUAACACAUGCAAGUCGAACGGUAGCACAGAGAGCUUGCUCUCGGGUGACGAGUGGCGGACGGGUGAGUAAUGUCUGGGAAACUGCCCGAUGGAGGGGGAUAACUACUGGAAACGGUAGCUAAUACCGCAUAACGUCUUCGGACCAAAGUGGGGGACCUUCGGGCCUCACACCAUCGGAUGUGCCCAGAUGGGAUUAGCUAGUAGGUGGGGUAAUGGCUCACCUAGGCGACGAUCCCUAGCUGGUCUGAGAGGAUGACCAGCCACACUGGAACUGAGACACGGUCCAGACUCCUACGGGAGGCAGCAGUGGGGAAUAUUGCACAAUGGGCGCAAGCCUGAUGCAGCCAUGCCGCGUGUAUGAAGAAGGCCUUCGGGUUGUAAAGUACUUUCAGCGGGGAGGAAGGCGUUAAGGUUAAUAACCUUGGCGAUUGACGUUACCCGCAGAAGAAGCACCGGCUAACUCCGUGCCAGCCGCCGCGGUAAUAC